rnacentral:ncRNA from 1 species
UCUCUUCAGGGCAAGGUGAAAUUCCUGACCGGUGGUAAUGGAGCGCUGCUCCUAGCCCACGAGCCGCGAGGCAGACCCGGUGCGAUUCCGGGGCCGACAGUAAUGGAGCGCGUCUCCACAGUCUGGAUGAAAGAAGAG